GUGAACGCUGGCGGUAGGCCUAACACAUGCAAGUCGAACGGCAGCACAGUAAGAGCUUGCUCUUACGGGUGGCGAGUGGCGGACGGGGGAGGAAUACAUCGGAAUCUACUUUUUCGUGGGGGAUAACGUAGGGAAACUUACGCUAAUACCGCAUACGACCUACGGGGGAAAGCAGGGGAUCUUCGGACCUUGCGCGAUUGAAUGAGCCGAUGUCGGAUUAGCUAGUUGGCGGGGUAAAGGCCCACCAAGGCGACGAUCCGUAGCUGGUCUGAGAGGAUGAUCAGCCACACUGGAACUGAGACACGGUCCAGACUCCUACGGGAGGCAGCAGUGGGGAAUAUUGGACAAUGGGCGCAAGCCUGAUCCAGCCAUACCGCGUGGGUGAAGAAGGCCUUCGGGUUGUAAAGCCCUUUUGUUGGGAAAGAAAAGCAGCAGGUUAAUACCCCGCUGUUCUGACGGUACCCAAAGAAUAAGCACCGGCUAACUUCGUG
rnacentral:rRNA from 1 species